UACGAAGGGGGGCUAGCGUUGUUCGGAAUUACUGGGCGUAAAGGGCGCGUAGGCUGUGCUGUAAGUCAGGCGUGAAAGGCCCGGGCUCAACCUGGGAAUGGCGCUUGAUACUGCGGCGCUGGAAGGUGGGAGAGGAUGGCGGAAUUCCCAGUGUAGAGGUGAAAUUCGUAGAUAUUUGGGAAGAACACCGGUGGCGAAGGCGGCCAUCUGGCCCACAUUUGACGCUGAGGCGCGAAAGCGUGGGGAGCAAACAGG
rnacentral:rRNA from 1 species